GCGAGUAUAGUUUAACGGUAAAAUAUAACCUUGCCAAGGUUAGGUUACGGGUUCGAUUCCCGUUACUCGCU
rnacentral:tRNA from 1 species